AAAAACAGGCCUUGAUUUACUGGUUGGCUGUCUAUCUAAUCUUUCCUUCCAUCUAUCUGUAAUCUAUCCAUCUAUGAAAUUGUGCUUAUUCCCGCCUUUCAAUAUAAUUAAGGGUUUUCCAGGACAACCAUAUGGAAACGACUGUGGUAUAUUUAUGUUGAUGUCUGCAUUGUACAUAGUGCUGGAUGCCCCAUUUGACUACACAAUUGUAAGUAUUAGAAUAGUUUUCAGUAACUUUGAGACAAUGUAACUUCCAAAGAGCAUUACAUUUUUUAUGUUUUGAGCAGCUGGACACGGCAGAGCUGAGGAAAUGGUGGUGCGUCAUGUUAAUGGAGAACUUCAGACUGGAACAACAUGGAAAAUUGUUUGCCCACUAUGCUGAGGAGUCCAAAGCCUUCCUUAGAGGUGAGCAGCAGCCUGUAUUUCGGUUGCGAAAAAGGAGGUUUGAAGAAAUCUCUCAGGUAAAAGCUAAUACUUGGGAAUCAUCAUAAGGUUAAAAUGGCAUGUUAUCAUGACAAACCAGGUAAACCUGUGCUGUAUUUUUACCAAUAACAGGAAGAGCCUUUCCACGUACAGGUAACAUGUUAUCUUUUAGCAGCCCCUCAGGAAA